UUUAAACCUUAAACUAGCAGCGCACGUCACUUUCUGAGUGAAGUGCGCGACGUGCGCGUGCCCGUCAUUUUGUAACGGUCAACUUCCAGCAGACGGACACGGAGGAAAGGGCCUGACAACCACCAGUUGAGUCCAUGAUUCAGGGAAGAGACAGUCUGGGCAGCAGCAACAAGACAACUAUUACAAGUAGAGAUGGGUUUCAAGAACUGGUACUAAUUUGGUUCCUGACUUGUUCGACACAACCACAUAUCCUCCAAAUCAUCUCUGCGUGGAUGGCAGCAAGGAUCCAGGAUCAAGAGAUCAUUCUUCAUGGAGACUGUUCCACAGGAAGCAGUUUCUCCUGGGUCAUCCUGACCAUUCUGCUGUCCUGGAUGUAAGGCCGUGCUGGAACUACAUUUCUCGUUGUUGAAAGAUUUGUGCAGCGAUUUGAGGGAAAGAUUAAAAACAAGGAGGUCUGGGAAUGACUGAAGGGAACUGACAGCAGUGAGGGAAGGAAGUUAUCACCAGAAUCUCAAAGGAUGUUGACAGUGCAGGCCCAGGAUGAAGAAGAGGAGGAAGAACACGUUUAACAAUUUUCUCAUAAGCUUGCCAUGUGUUAUAAUAAAAACAAUGAACAUGGCUACAAUAAUAUGCUAAAUGUUAUUAAAAGAUUCCAGUUUGCAAGAAGUCUGAGUGUCUGACUCUACACUAGAGGAACUCUUUUCUGAAGAAGAUCAGGUGCUGAAAAGAGGCCUUGUUCUACAGCACAACACUGCAAGCCUCCUGUCCUUCCCUCAGAAGAGCCUGUCUUCUGCUGCUGGGGUAAGAAACACACUCUUCCUCUUCUCUAUCAGCUGUCCUGCACCUAACUCUGCCUCCUCAGCACUGUCUGAAAGAGUCAUCUCCACAGUCAGUAAUCACAGAUCACAGAUUCUUCUGAGAAAGUCGAUAUGCUCACUUUCUUAAAAAACUUUGUUUUUUCGGGUGGGACAAAUAAUACAGGAGAGAUGCUAGAAAUCUCUAUAUUGUUCAUUUUUCAUAUCUUUACGCUUUAUGAAUGUUUUUCUUCUGAGAAUCUCAAAAAUUAUGGUUCUUUGGUAAUUGUUAUAUUGUUUAGUUUUAUCCUCUGAUAGUGAGCACAGAGCCCUGAUCAUGACAUGCAAGAAAAAGAAAGAAAUCAUGUCCAUGAUUUACUAAUUCGUUCCCUCUAUGUACUAAACGUGCACGAUUACUUUUACAUUUCAUUGAUUUGCUAAAUCGUAUGCACAAUUUACUAAUUCGUUCUCUUGAUGUAUAAAUAGUGUACACGAAAUCGAGGGAAUGAAAUAGAAAAUCGUGCGCAUGAAUUAGCCUAAAUUUUUUCCUGCAUGUAGUGUAAUUAAAGCACAUCACCAUCAGACAUUUAUACCAGGAGCCUCUUAUACGACGCUCACAGUUUUACUUUGUGCAGUAUCUCGGUGCAGUAUCUGCUGAAUUGUUUCAUAUCUAUUUAUCAUGUAUUUUUUGUUGCACUAAAUUAUGUUGUAUCAAUAAGUUUACUGAUAAUUAUUUUUAAUUUUCACUAAUAACGUCAUUAACCAUCUCCCCAUCUUUAAGACAAAAAUUUUCUAUUGUUUAUAUUGUGUAAUCUAUGAAUUGAUGUGUUUAGUUUUCUGUGCUCAUAACUUAGUAACAUUUUGCAUGUUUAAAGAACAGGUGCGAUGUUCAAAAUGUUUUGGCUUCCUAUUUGUACAAAGUAGUGCUGAAUAAAUAUUGAUUUGUGAAUGAA